rnacentral:lncRNA from 1 species
GGCAGAAAGGAUACAAAGCUGCCAAUCUGGUGCCUGCCCCUCUCUUUUCUGGGCCUCGCUCAGGUGCUGGGAAUGUGGGGAGUCCUUGCCGAGUGUCCCCGGGCUGUGAGCCUGUUCAGAGCCUUCAGUGUGCACACCUAGAAGCUCAAGUUGUAGCCCAGGGGUGGCCUAUUGUGGGGCAGGAUUAAGCGACAGUUGAGAACUGAGAGGUGGGCGGUACAGGCUCACUUCAGAUCUAUGUGGGGGCAAGGAGCUGAGGACCGGGAAUGCCCUUUGCUUGAGCUCAGAAGGGUUGACUCUCAGGAGCAGGGUAAAAAAGAGGUUUCUAUUUCUUUUAGAACCCAGUCUCUAGGUUUCCUAGCCCUGCGUCCAUGUAGAGAGAAAGAUGGAAGGCAGAGGCCACAGAAGGCAGUGAGGGCAGGGCUGGCCUCCCCGGGGUGCAUGUCCCCGGGGCUCAGAGGUGAUGAGCACAGAAGGGUGAGGGUGCUUCAGGGCACACAUUUAUAAAUUGCAGACAUCUGCCCAUGGGCUCCCUAUCAUGCUUUGUUUAUUGUUUUUAAGACUAGGGCAAAUACCAAAUGUGAUCUUGCUGCUUCUCGACCUGAGUGUUUAAAGGUCCUUUCUGGAGCAGUGGGACCUGAGCCCUAUGAGGGGUGCACCCAAGGCCCGACAGGAAGAGCAGCUCCCUCCUGCACGUUGGACUCUCCAUUCUAGGGAAAUCGCCCAUCUCCCCAGACAGGUAUGAUGACUUUUAUAGGAUUACUGGCCCAAAGGGAAAACCUCUUCCAGCUGAAACCCCAUCUGCACCCAGCUUCAGCUGGAAUCGUGACGGUCAGUGACAAAUCAGUGGUGCCACUGAGUCUGCCCUGAGGUGAAGGCUGUUCAGUGGGAUGGCCGGCCGUGGCCUCCACUUGGGGGAACAUUUCAGGCUCAGAAAGCCAGCACCUCAGAAUGCUCCCCAUGCUUGUCUCAUCUGCAGAAUCUGGACUUCCUCCAUAUGGACUAAACCCCCUAAUUGAAGGCUUUGAUUAUAUUAAACCUGCAUGUGCCUGAGGUGUUCCCAGGCAGCCAGGGUGUGGAGGCUCAGGAGCUGAGAGAGCAGUGGGUGCGGCGGGUUCCGAUAUGGGAUGCUGGGCCUUGAGCAGAAUGCUGGGAAGCUCCGGAUUUUCUCAUUGUUCGUGGACCUGGCUAUCCUGAAGUCCUGCUUCCACAAGGAAAUGUGGUUUACUCUCAGCCCCAUGUUUGUGCAUAGACAACGGAUGGCAUUCACCAGGAACAGCACAAAAGCAAAGCUGCGAUCUUCCUGGAAACAAUUAGAGUCAGCGCUGCGAGCAUUAGGGGUGGUGUGAGCUGGCACAGCCUGCUUCCUGCCCUCACUUCUGUGUGAAAGAAACAAGGCAGGGCACUGUGCAGCCACCGGCUGGUGGAGGGAAAGGCGCCGGAGGGAGACGCUUUACAGAAGUCAGAGCCACCAGGAGCCCCAGGGCCAUCCCAUCAGGAGAGAGGAGCUGCGUCUGGUGCUGGUCCACUCUCUGAUGCCUGCAGGAGGCACCCUGCCUGCCCUCCUCGCCCUGUGCAUCCCCACCCAGCCUCCUGGCUGCUCGGCCCUUGAUGCUGGGUUUUGGGAAGCUGUUCUCUCCUCUUUGGUAGCAUCAUCUGCUUCAUCAACAGAACAUGCUCCUGUGGUAAGGAAGCCUGACUGCAGUCUGAGCUCGGACUCCCUAGAACCCUCCCCUGCCACACCGUGGCUAUUCCCGAUGUGCAGGUAGUGGCUUCAUUACAUUAAACACGGCAGUGAGAGCUCCUGCCAUGAAAGUUCUGGGUGGAGGGUGGGACCACCCACAUGUAAGAGAGGUUGGCGGUGAGUGGGGCAGCUGAAUGGGAGGCCCCUUGCCCAUGCUGGGACCCACUUAAUUCCUCUGAUUUUUAGCAGAAUCAGGGCAAACUUCUAAUUAUUUUGGUACUCUGAAGAAAUAAAACCUGGGCUUGCCAUAGAAAAAUCUGUUCCAUCAGGGAAUUCCCUCUUGGCUCUGUGAAGGAGAAAAACUAUGAAGAGAUCUUUGGAAUGAGGGGUCUCAAGGGCACUGGAAGGCUCUGGCAUGUGAAGAGCUUGAGUUGGAAUGCAUCUGAGAGCCCGAGGGGCUGGCCCAGACACAGGAGGAAGCCUCCGAGCUGGCUUGGAUUUUUUUUCCAUUAAAAAGUUCUCUGGUUCCUGAGGUGCGAUGGUGAUGGUGGGAGAGGCUGGUUAGCGACAGGGGGGGCUCUCUGAACUUUCUGCUUAGUUUUGCUGUGAACCUAAAACUGCUCUAAAAAUAAUUUAUUGAUUUUUUAAAAAAGUUAUCAGGAAAGAACACCUACAGUUGGUUAGAUAUGAUUAAUAACUAGUACCAACAUGGCAUUGUUAACAAAGAAUACAUUAUUAUUAUUAUAAGGUACUCAGGAGUAAAGAACAAUGAAU